rnacentral:rRNA from 1 species
ACCCGAUAAAUGGAUAACUGUAAUAACUCUAGAGCUAAUACAUGCCUCGAUGCCCAGACCCCGUCUAUUGUAGAUUGGGGAAUGGGUGCACUUAUUAGAUCAGAAGCCAACCAGUUGUCACAUUGCGGCGGCUUCGGCAGUCGCAGUGUGUGCACUGUAGAACUUCUGGUGACUCUGGAUAAUUGUUACAGAUCGCAGUCGGCCUUGCGUCGGCGACGGGUCCUUCAAAUGUCUGCCCUAUCAACUUUCGAUGGUAGGUGACCUGCCUACCAUGGUGAUUACGGGUAACGGGGAAUCAGGGUUCGAUUCCGGAGAGGGAGCCUGAGAAACGGCUACCACUUCCAAGGGAGGCAGCAGGCGCGCAAAUUACCCACUCCCAGCACGGGGAGGUGGUGACGAAAAAUACCGAUGCGGGACUCGUUCAUGAGGCUCCGUAAUCGGAAUGAGUGAAUCCUAAAACCUUUCAUGAGGAUCAAUUGGAGGGCAAGUCUGGUGCCAGCAGCCGCGGUAACUCCAGCUCCAAUAGCGUAUAUUAAAGUUGCUGCAGUUAAAAAGCUCGUAGUUGGAUCUCGGUAGCAUUGCUGCCUGUGGAUAUUUGGACGACAGUGUGUGGCUGAUGAUAGGCGUUUGCAGUGUCUGCCUGCCUGUACUGAUUACUGUAGUAUGCCGCUGUUGUUGUUGGUUCGUUGAUUGUGCGGUCGUUGUGUGUGUGUGUGUGUGCCCUGGUACGCGCGCGCGCGCGCUCACUCACCUUCGACGAUAGACGAUGGCAGAUAGUGCUGCUAUGGCAGUGCAGUGUAUUUGGUUGGCGUUGUGGUCGUGCUGUCGCGGUCAUUAACUAGCAUUGUCGUAUCAAGCCCGCAAGGCGACGGUGUCACCUUUAAGCCAUGUCUGUGGUCUCUCGGCCGCAGGUGUAGGCGGGUGUUAGACUGCGCUCUGCAUUGCUGUGGGGCCUAGUCGGCUCGUCUGCAUGCCUUUGGAUGCCCUUAAAAAGGUGUCCCUCGGCGGAUGGCACGUUUACUUUGAACAAAUUUGAGUGCUCAAAUCAGGCCGAUGUUGCCUGAAAAGUUUUGCAUGGAAUAAUGGAAUAGGACUUCGGUUCUAUUUCGUUGGUUUCGGAUCCGAAGUAAUGAUCAAAAGAGACAGGCGGGGACGUUUGUAUGGCUGCGCUAGAGGUGAAAUUCAUUGACCGUAGCCAGACAAACUAAAGCGAAAGCAUUCGUCAAGCAUGUUUUCAUUGCCAUGAGCGAAAGUCAGAGGCUCGAAGACGAUCAGAUACCGUCCUAGUUCUGACCAUAAACGAUGCCAACUGACGAUCCGUGGUGGUAGUACUAAUACCUUCCCCACGGGCAGUCCCCGGGAAACCUUUAAGUCUUUGGGUUCCGGGGGAAGUAUGGUUGCAAAGCUGAAACUUAAAGGAAUUGACGGAAGGGCACCACCAGGAGUGGAGCCUGCGGCUUAAUUUGACUCAACACGGGAAAACUCACCCGGGCCGGACACUAUGAGGAUUGACAGAUUGAUAGCUCUUUCUUGAUUUGGUGGUUGGUGGUGCAUGGCCGUUCUUAGUUGGUGGAGCGAUUUGUCUGGUUAAUUCCGAUAACGAACGAGACUCCAGCCUGCUAAUUAGUGCGUUUGUCCACUGCACCUGUGUGGAUGGCAUUGGGCUAGAUUGCUGCUUCUUCUCGCCGCCGUCGCCUUCGCCCAUUGGUGUCAGCCGGUGGGUUGGCGUCUGUGGUUGGGUUGUGGUUGAUCAGCUCGAUGUUAGCCUUCGGGUGCGGCGCGAAUGCUUACUUCUUAGAGGGACAAACGGGAGAAGCCGCAUGAAAAAGAGCAAUAACAGGUCUGUGAUGCCCUUAGAUGUCCGGGGCCGCACGCGCGCUACAAUGGCGGUGUCAACGAGUCAGACCUUCUGGCCCGAAAGGGUUGGGUAAACUGGUCAAUCACCGUCAUGACAGGGAUCGGGGCUUGCAAUUAUUCCCCGUGAACGAGGAAUUCCUAGUAAGUGCAAGUCAUAAGCUUGCGCUGAUUACGUCCCUGCCCUUUGUACACACCGCCCGUCGCUACUACCGAUUGAAUGGUUUAGUAAGGUCCUUGGAUCGGCGCCAUUGCGGUGUUCGCCGAGAGGUGCGCAUCCUACUGGUGCUGAGAGACGACCAACUGAUCAU